rnacentral:rRNA from 1 species
AUUGAACGCUGGCGGCAUGCCUUACACAUGCAAGUCGAACGGUAACAGGCCGCAAGGUGCUGACGAGUGGCGAACGGGUGAGUAAUGCAUCGGAACGAGCCCAGUCGUGGGGGAUAACUGCUCGAAAGAGCAGCUAAUACCGCAUACGACCUGAGGGUGAAAGCGGGGGACCGUAAGGCCCCGCGCGAUUGGAGCGGCCGAUGUCAGAUUAGCUAGUUGGUGGGGUAAAGGCCUACCAAGGCAACGAUCUGUAGUUGGUCUGAGAGGACGACCAGCCACACUGGGACUGAGACACGGCCCAGACUCCUACGGGAGGCAGCAGUGGGGAAUUUUGGACAAUGGGCGCAAGCCUGAUCCAGCAAUGCCGCGUGCAGGAAGAAGGCCUUCGGGUUGUAAACUGCUUUUGUCAGGGAAGAAAUCUUCUGGGCUAAUACCCCGGGAGGAUGACGGUACCUGAAGAAUAAGCACCGGCUAACUACGUGCCAGCAGCCGCCGUAACAC